rnacentral:rRNA from 1 species
GACGAACGCUGGCGGCGUGCUUAACACAUGCAAGUCGAGCGGUAAGGCCCUUUCGGGGGUACACGAGCGGCGAACGGGUGAGUAACACGUGGGUGACCUGCCCUCAGCUCUGGGAUAAGCCUGGGAAACCGGGUCUAAUACUGGAUAUGACUCCAUGACGCAUGUUGUGGGGUGGAAAGCCUUGUGCGGCUGAGGAUGGGCCCGCGGCCUAUCAGCUUGUUGGUGGGGUGANGGCCUACCAAGGCGACGACGGGUAGCCGGCCUGAGAGGGCGACCGGCCACACUGGGACUGAGACACGGCCCAGACUCCUACGGGAGGCAGCAGUGGGGAAUCUUGCGCAGUGGGCGAAAGCCUGACGCAGCGACGCCGCGUGAGGGAUGACGGCCUCGG